CUUGGAGGACUUGAUCUAAGUGAAAUAAGCCAAGACACUGAAGGACAAAUACUACGUGCUCCCACUUACGUGAGGAACCUGAAAUAGUCAAACUCGUGCAACAAAUAUGAGAAAAUGGGGUUGAGAAGAAGAGCAAGUAUCACUAGGCUACGAGGAAUGAAAAUGAUAUUCAGAUAGACAGUAAAAGUGGAGCAGAUCUGAACACGCCUUCAGAGGGCAGAGUCAGCAACGUAGAGACUUUCCCAGAUAACUUCAUCAAGAUCUUCAGUGGAUGCCUGCGAACCCUGGGAGCAGAAGAGUUUCCCUUGUGUCCACACUCUAGAUUCCAGGCUUUUGCUUCACAACUGAUCAGUGUGGAAUAUGAGGGCUGGAAAGAGCCACUUUUACCUCCAUGCUUUCAACUUCAUUAAUGCACUCAGGGACUGAUACUUUUGCUGGCUAGAAUAUUUUCCCAUAUUGAGAUCGCAGGGUCCUCUGAAUUGUGAUAAGUGUAUAUUCCAGCCCUGGCUCCUGUGCUUCCUAUCUGGGAGUUUUGUGGACUCAGGUUUCUCCCUUGAAAGUUAGGAUAAUUUUAAUAGACUAUUUUAUUGAGUGAUAGUUAUUAUUAAAUUAGAUAAUCCUGAUUAGUCUGCAAAAUGUUAUUUAUUAUUAUUAAUUGAGUGUUUUAGUCCAAUGUAAAAAUAAUUAUCAAAAAUGAGUCCAAUCCUCAGGCAAAGAUUUUUUUAGUAAUAAUUAAAGAUGUGUGAUUCAUUCAAAAAAAAUCUUCUCUGACUCAUACAUGCUAUAUUGAAAUUACUUGCCUGAGGUUACUACUUGAUUUAUAUGUUCCAUGUUACCUCUCCCACUCUUUUUCCCAUGUGACUACAUCAUCACAAGUAUAUUAUUGGCCAUAUGUUUCUACUUGUCCUCAGUGCCCAGAGAGUGUGCAUACACAAAAUGGUUCCCACAAGGGAAGAGAAACAAAGACCCUUGCGAAGAAUGAAUCUCCCUGAGCAAAGGAAAGACGCCUUUCUCUGAAAUUCCACGUAGUCAUAGAAU
rnacentral:lncRNA from 1 species